rnacentral:rRNA from 1 species
AUACGUAGGGGGCGAGCGUUGUCCGGAAUGAUUGGGCGUAAAGGGCGCGUAGGCGGCCCGGUAAGUCUGGAGUGAAAGUCCUGUUUUUAAGAUGGGAAUUGCUUUGGAUACUGUCGGGCUUGAGUGCAGGAGAGGUAAGUGGAAUUCCCAAUGUAGCGGUGAAAUGCGUAGAGAUCGGGAGGAACACCAGUGGCGAAGGCGGGUUACUGGGCUGUAACUGACGCUGAGGCGCGAAAGCGUGGGGAGCGAACAGGAUUAGAUACCCUGGUAGUCCACGCUGUAAACGAUGAAUGCUAGGUGUAGGGGGUAUCGACCCCUCCUGUGCCGGAGUAAACGCAAUAAGCAUUCCGCCUGGGGAGUACGGCCGCAAGGUUGAAACUCAAAGGAAUUGGCGGGG